ACAUGCAAGUCGAACGAUGAUGCCCAGCUUGCUGGGCGGAUUAGUGGCGAACGGGUGAGUAAUACGUGAGUAACCUGCCCUUGACUCUGGGAUAAGCCUGGGAAACUGGGUCUAAUACUGGAUACUACCUCUUACCGCAUGGUGGGUGGUGGAAAGGGUUUUACUGGUUUUGGAUGGGCUCACGGCCUAUCAGCUUGUUGGUGGGGUAAUGGCUCACCAAGGCGACGACGGGUAGCCGGCCUGAGAGGGUGACCGGCCACACUGGGACUGAGACACGGCCCAGACUCCUACGGGAGGCAGCAGUGGGGAAUAUUGCACAAUGGGCGGAAGCCUGAUGCAGCGACGCCGCGUGAGGGAUGACGGCCUUCGGGUUGUAAACCUCUUUCAGUAGGGAAGAAGCGAGAGUGACGGUACCUGCAGAAGAAGCGCCGGCUAACUACGUGCCAGCAGCCGCGGUAAUACGUAGGGCGCAAGCGUUGUCCGGAAUUAUUGGGCGUAAAGAGCUCGUAGGCGGUUUGUCGCGUCUGCUGUGAAAGCCCGGGGCUCAACCCCGGGUCUGCAGUGGGUACGGGCAGACUAGAGUGCAGUAGGGGAGACUGGAAUUCCUGGUGUAGCGGUGAAAUGCGCAGAUAUCAGGAGGAACACCGAUGGCGAAGGCAGGUCUCUGGGCUGUUACUGACGCUGAGGAGCG
rnacentral:rRNA from 1 species